GCUCGCAUUUGGUCCCACAACCGCCUUACCUUAUGAGGAGACCUGCGUCCACAGGGAGAGCGACUCCUCCAUAGGAUCAAAACUUUACCUCAGCACAAACAACUCCAGAUCCACGCAUGAUGCUUCACAUGUGAUAUCUGCUGUGAGUCUGAAGCUGCGGACUUUCCUCUCGCCACCCGCACUGAAACCUGGGUUUGACGUGUCUCAUACGCCACCUUUUGGACACUGGGGGAAACACAUGCCUGUGUAUCCUCUGUCCCGCAGCAUCAGAUGACACAAAUCAGAAGAUGUGAACCACAGACUGCUGCUGUUUUUAAGAGGUGACGGUGAUGGCUUCUUCUCUCCAGCUCGGCUGGCAGAGCUGGCAGACCGCGAGAGGAGUAAAAGAAAAGACAGUCCAACUUGUUGGGGGGUAUAAGGCAGACACAUUUGCAUACCCUGUGAGUCUUUGAUGCAUCUCGAAAAAUUCAAGUCUAGCCCAUAAAUAUUUGAAAAGGAGAGUGCAUGAAAAUCAACAUUUUUGUUACAUUAAAUUAACAUGUGUUCUUCUCCUGUUCUGCAUGGUUAAUUAGAGAACACCAUUCAGUCAGUCAGUCGGUGAGGUGGGGGGGGGGGGUUUUGAUUACAGUGCACGCGGAGCAGGUUUCAAAGGUGUGCAGCUGAUUCAUGCUCAGGACCACAGUGAUUAGUAUUCACAAUGAGGAUUCAUAAUUACCUGCAUUAUGAAAGAGGAUUAUAAAAAAGGAAGGAUAACAUGUGCCGGGAUAUGGGUUCACCCCCUUCAUUCACCAGUCACAGUUUAUCCUAACCCUCUAUUUAGCUUUUAGUAGCAACAUAUAAACAAUUAAUACAUAUUUAUCACACACUAUGAGACAGUUAUUAACAGGUAUGAGUGUUUAUUAAUGGAUUUGUUAACAUCAACUAUAAACAGAUAAUAUAUAUCUUGAAUUGCAGAAUAACACAAUUAUAGUCAUGUAAAUAAUCAUGUGUCCAGAGAUUUUAAAAGCAUUUAUAUUGUAUUUAUAUCUGUUACCAAAUAUGAGGGUAUUUUUAAGUGUUUAUUCAUGGCUUUGCCAACGUCUGCUAUAAACAGAUAAUGAAUAUCCAAUAUCACAGAAUAACACAGUUCUCUUUGUAUAAAUAGUCUUGUGUUCAGUGUUUUCAGAUAAAUGUAUAUAGAGUUGUAAACCUGCCGAACACACACACGGUAAAUAAGAGCUUUGUAACACAAAGUAAAAUUGCUAUGAGCCAGUGUUUAAAAAUGUAAACAUUUUGCCACCUCCAACAUUUAUCUCAAUACAAACACGAGGAUUAGAGACGUUACAUCUGUAUUUGGAACGUGUUGUUUCUGAGAACAUGUUGCUCUGUCAACAGCUCAUAAAAAAGCAUAAUGACUUCAUUGUGAUUUGCUCUAUACAGAGUGUAAAAAUGUAACGUACAGUAAGAGGAGAGAAAUGACGCAACCCGAUAUACACUCUGCCGUCGAGUGAGUGAGACGCUCUCCACCACCGACGUGGUCCAGUUGUAAAAAAGAUCAACUUCCACAACAACAAAAAGAAAACAACAACACAACUUAGUCAUUACCGGAUGCCAAGUUACGCAAUUAAUUCAAACACUAUUUGCAUACAUGCAAAUCAUCUCUCUCCCUCAAUUGGACUUGCAAAGUGGGACGCUCUGUUCUCAUUAGUUGACCCAAAUCUCUUACUUGUAACUCUGGAUUUCAUCAAAGUUUAGUCAGGAUCUAAUAUUUCCUUUCAAGUUAACAGAGAACCACUGAUUAAUCAUGUUGAAAUAAGGAGUGCAACAUGCCAUUUCUAAUUAUAUAGCUAUCAGGGACACCAUCACACAGCCCGUGCCAACAAUACUACAAAUAUACAAGUCUGUAACACUCGUGGAUACACGUUGACCAGUAUUAGACGAUAUGUGAUCUAUGUUGUCAGCACAUUAGUUCAGAGGCUCAAUCAGUGAAUCUAUGUAAGAGACGAGUGAAUUUUCCUUCUGCAACCGCUGUCGUUUGUGUUUCACCAAAACCUUUUCAAAUGGAGGCUUUGAGAUUAAUAUGUUCUUAUACUUAUUGGCAUGUGGCUUUAGGACUGGACCAUAUGGCUGAAAUCAUAUUGAGAUGAAAAUGUUCUUAUCAGUCGAUAUCAAUAUGAUCAUUAUGAUAAACGUCACAUUAUUGUUUCUUUUAAGUUUAAAGACUGAUUUUCACUCCUGAGUCAAGGUUGUGGUUUAAACUCUACUUUACUGGGCAGUGACUGACACUGUAUUUUACUAAUCUGCGGUAGAUCAACUAGAUGUUACAGCUCUUCACGGUGCUUAUACAAAGCAUUAUAUUGAUAUAUAUUGGACUUUUAUUAAAUUGCUCUUGAUUCAAUUUAUAUUGGGAUGAUUAUUGUUUUAUUGCACAGCUCUAUGUGGCUUAUAUUCAUUUUAGCCAAUACAAUUAAAAAGUACCAUGUACCAUUAUAUUUUACUGUGGACCUUAAGUUACAUUUAGCCGUUUCAAUGGCAUCAUUGCUGACUGUAUGUAAAUUUCCCUUAGCUCAGUGUGUGUGUGUGCGUGUGUGUGUGUGUGUGUGUGUGUGUGUGUGUGUGUGUGUGUGUGUGUGUGUGUGUGUGUGUGUGUGUGUGUGUGUGUGUGUGUGUGUGUGUCUGUGGAGCAGCUAGAUUAAAGAGGAGGCCCAGAGGCAUUUGCUUCAUUUACAAAGCAAUUGCUUUUAUGUACAAAAAGCCCAAUUCACUGUAGGUAUUGUAAAAGCCGAGCGUUUAAGGAACAUGAGAUGAAUUCAUUGUUUAAUGUAACACAGCACAUUCUCAAACACGCACUUAAUCAUUUAUGUCGGAGGAAUUGUGUUCUCUUUCUGUUAUAUUACGCCAGUAAACGCAUUAUUCAAUAUUUAUUAUUUCUACACUUGCUCCCAAAUGAUGCCGCGGCUUUAAUACAUAAACACUGUGGCUUUGGAAUCAAAGAUUUCCACAGAAGCUAUUGUUUUAAUUUCUGCAAAUAGAGCCACUGUGGUGCAGCGUGACUUUAAUCCAGCUUUCCCUCUAUUCUUUUUAUAGCGCGCACACACGUUGGGAAAAAUAUUCAGUGAUUCUUAACUCUUCAAUUAUUCAACAAAUCUCCAUUCUAUUUCUUACAUAUUAAAAAAUGUACCGUAUGUGGAGCUGGAGAAUGAUAAAACAGCAUAAAAUACUCUUUUGAAAUCAAAGCACCUAUUGCAUCGGCUUCCUUGCUUUUGUAUUUGUACAAUUGGACUACAAUCCGGAUCCCCACUGUGUUUCCCACUGUAGUCUAAUCCUCAGACACUGUCGGCGAGUAACAAUCAUAUUUAUGUGAUGGAAAUAUAGGUAUCUCUGGGAAUCACUGUAGGAUUUCUCCUUUCUCUGCGGCUGUCAGGGGGAAAAUAGUGAAUAUGUUACAAACGCAGGGUGCAGUGUAGUGAACAAUGUAGACCUGAGAACAAGGUCGGACUCCUCAGCAGGGUCUCAAUAGGUUUCCUCCUUUCAACCACAGACCUGCCAAAAAAAGAAAAGAAGCAACAAAAGUCAAAGCCUCAGCCUGAUCUGUGUCUCUGCAGCACACUGUAAACACCGGAGCUUUAUUCAGCGUGAGAUAUUUUAUUUACCGCUGCUUGUUUAUUAGCUUUUAUUUACGUGUAGAAAACCCACUCUGACUAAGAUUCCUGUCAGGAAACUGAGCCGCAUGUGUCUAAGUCUCUCCCCAUGUGAAGAAGCAUUUCUGAAGCCAGUAAGUAUUUAGUAAAGGAUUAAUGCGGGAGGCCGUGAUUGCGUUUAACAGAACAGGACCCAAUUAGCAUAAUAGGCCCUCUUUCAUUCUCUUUGAAGUCCAGAGCAUAGAAUAACAAAUGUAUAUGAACCAGCAGCCAGACGUCAAUACAUGGAAAUGCCACAAUUCUCAGCGGAGGGUCUUGGGUGAAUUUUUCUGCAGGAGGAGGGAAAAACAUCCCAUUUUAUUUGCGGAAUAAGCAGAACAGAGGAUGCGAUGGGUCUUCUAGCCACCAGGGCCAGCUGGUGCUGUGGGCCACCGACCCUGGAGGAGAGAUGGAGGCAGGGAGGCUGUGGCUGCUGUGGGAGGUGCAUCCUCUCUCUCUCUCUCUCUCUCUCUCUCUCUCUCUCUCUCUCUCUCUCUCUCUCUCUCUCUCUCUCUCAGGUGUUUUCAAAGCACGGCCGCGGUGCAGACGAGUGAAAGUAAUUACUCUCCAAUCAGAGAUAAAGAUGUCACUUGGGAGGGAGCCGCAACACAACAGCUCGCUGCGAGAUAGGCGAACCAAGGCGAGGGCGCUGCAUCCAUUAAGAUCCUGCUUAUGCAUAUUUACCGCAGUGAUUUAUGAUAAAUGUAAUAAAUAUUCGUAUUGAAAACUGCAAGAAUUGGGCAUAAAGGCAAUGUCUCACUUUUUUAUUUAAAACAUAUUCUCAAUAUUCCUUUCUUUUUGAAUCGCAUGUUCUUAGAGAUUUCUUUUUUACAAUUGCAAAGGAGGUAGGGUUCAUCAUUUAAAGAUAUGAAUUCUGUACUUCAGAAUCCAGAGUUAUUAGUAUCCACCUUCCUGGGUGAAAAUACACGGAAUUAAAAAUGCUCUUUUGAGAUGGAAAAAGCUUUGAACUUAAGAAACACUUCAAGAAGCCUCUCAGUUUUUUUUUGUAUUGAAACUUCACCUCCUCGGAGCACGCCAUAGUUUGGUUCCUUUUUCAAAUAAUAGAAUGAAGUUUAAUAGGUCAUGGCAAUCAAUGUGGGGCUUCAAAGAGAAUCCUGGAGCUGUGAUGAGUGCACAUUUUGUAUGUUUCCUUUGUACAUGAUUGGAAUAAAGAUUCGUUCAAUAAAUGCAUCGGCGAAAUAUGAUGAAGAACAAAGGCUCUUUUGGGUUAAAUGUUAAUGAUUAAAUUGAUUUUUUGGGGCUAAUUUCUUAAUCAGAUUGAAGAAUAAUAAAACCAUGUGGAUUCAAAUCUCUAGAAGUGGACAGCAGGAAAAGAAAAACACCAAUCUGUGGAAGGCAACACUGUCCUGCUCCUGCAAACACACUUUACUUGUUGCUGUUGAACUCUAUGACUCCGGCUCAAACCAUUUAGACCCUGUGGGAUUAUUUAGACCACUACCGUUUCCAGGGUUUAUAAUUUGUUUGAAAUUCUUCCUUCAUUU